rnacentral:rRNA from 1 species
AUGGUCCUUGGCUAUACUCCUGAGGAGGCGGUGUCCAUUGAGGAUCGGCUUAACUUCCGCCUGGGUUCCUUCCCCAUGACCUACCUGGGGAUACCCAUUAGUGAUUCCAGGCUCACCGUUGCUGAUCUCCACCCGACGGUGACCUGGAUGCAGCACCGUGUUGAACCUUGGCGGGGACGCUGGUUGUCGAAGGCGGCGAGGGUGAUUCUAAUCAACUCCUCGCUGGCAAGCCUGCCGUGGUUUCUCAUGAGCUUCUACAGCCUCCAUGAGACCCUCCAUCAGGAUGUCGCUAAAUACCAGUCAAGGUUCUACUGGGCUGGUGAGGGUGACAAGCAGAAGUAUCAUAUGGUGAGCUGGCCAGACAUCUGCAAACCCAAGGACCAGGGUGGCCUUGGGAUCAUGUCAUCUCGCCGCAUGAACAUUGCCCUCCUGACCCGUUGGCUACGGCGUAUCGCCAAUGGGGAGGGAGGCCUCUGGCUCACCAUCAUCCAUAAUAAAUACCUGAGGAGCCAACCUUUGGCCUUUUGCCAGCGUACGGGUGGCUCCCAGUUCUGGCAGUCCGUGGUCCAGCUUCUGCCCGUCCUUCGCCUCGGUAUGUCCAUCUAUGUUGGAUCUGGGGCCUCGACGCUAUUCUGGUUCGACCGAUGGUUUGGGGACUCCCCCUUGGCCGUGCGGUUCCCAGAAAUUUUUGCCAUUGCGGCCCUCUCGACGUGGCUGCUUGGGACUCCCUCCUCCAAGCCAUGGCUCUGA